AUAUCAAUAAGCGGAGGAAAAGGAACUAACAAGGAUUCCCCUAGUAACGGCGAGUGAAGCGGGAAAAGCUCAAAUUUGAAAUCCGGUUUUUAAUAAAAAGCCAGAGUUGUAAUUUAUAGACACGUUUUCGGUAACGGCCCUUGUAUAAAUCCUUUGGAACAGGGUAUCAUAGAGGGUGAGAAUCCCGUCUUUGACAAGGGAACGCGUAGCCAUGUGAUACGUGCUCAAAGAGUCGCAUUGUUUGGGAAUGCAGUGCAAAAUGGGUGGUAAAUUUCAUCUAAAGCUAAAUAAUGGGGAGAGACCGAUACGCACAAGUA
rnacentral:rRNA from 1 species